rnacentral:lncRNA from 1 species
AACACACAACAGCGCUCGAGCUCCGCUGCACCCAGAGGCGCGGCCUCCCGUUCGUGGGCCUCCUUGGGGCUCCCUCCCUUCUCUUCUAUUUUCCAAUAAUCCUUAACCCUUUUCUCCCAGCUGGAGGUGUGAGUGGGGGAAGGGACAAGGCGGUGGAGCCUUCUGAUUUUCUGGAGGUCUUGCAUUUGCAAGAGCCAGAAAACACACUGAGCCAUUCCUGAUUAUCCGGGAGUGCAUCCAGAGAGAAGUUGGAAAUUUUCUCCUAAUUGCAUUGCACUGUACUAGGAGAAGGGCUCUGAGAAGUGAGUAUCAUAAAUUUUCCUAAGAGAAUUCCAUUCAGACGGCAUUGUGCUUGCCUGGAGUGCACAAAUCUCCUACCUGGUUUUUUGAUUUUGCACAAAGGCAAUUGGAUAUAUACUGUUGUUAAACUGACGUCUCUGGGGGAGCAGGAAAAUCUGAGUCUUCCUAUUCUGCCAUUUUGCUGAUGUCAUUGCUCAAAAUUGAUGUUUUUUAAACUAAAAUAUAGUAGAAGUAAUAAAAAUUUUGCCAAAACCCCGUUUCAACUAUAUUCUGAAUAAUAUGAACAAUGCUUCCUAUAUAACCAGUAAAUAUACAAAAAUAGUCAUUGUUGGGUUUGAACCUUUAUGCAUUAAUAUAUUAUUAAUGACAUUUACUUUAUUUUAUGUUGCACAUUUAGUUAAGAGACUUGACUUUCAAUAGCAUAAAUGCAUUUUAUUAGCAAUUUUUAUAUUUCCCUAAGCACUACUAUUUUGUUUUCUCUUUUAAUCUGUAUAUUACAGAUAGUGUAAGUGAUGACUUUGAUAAUAACACAUAUACUAAGCUUUGCAAUUUUACAAACACCCAAAACUCUAGCAGCACACUUUUUCUACUAACAUCUCACCUGACACA